rnacentral:misc_RNA from 1 species
CAAAGAAUAAACUUCAAAACUUGGUUCAUAUUUUCAUAACUUAAGAACUUCACUUCAAAAGUAAGCUGGGAUAAAUUGAUUUCGUCCUACGAAGUCGAUUUUAGUCCAUGAACUUUCCAAAAAGAUUUUCCGCCAUCGUGGAAAAUGUCAACGUUCGAAAAUGGCACUCACAACGAUAUUUGGAAUUUCAAGGGGGUUAACAAGAACAGUAUGCUGGAGUAUGUCACCCCUUAUAAAAUCUCAAUAGUUAUCCUCAUAAAUGAGCUUUGUCAGUUGAAAACAAAAAAUAUGUGUGGCCAGUUGAAGAGAGUUUUGUUCCCACAGGAACAAAAACCAAUUUAUAGGAGAGACUUCUGCAUGUUGAUUCUCAUGCUGAUUCAGGCACCUGACAUGGAUUACCAGGAAUUUGUAAGGAUACUCGAGUCGGGCAAGUACUGCCUUGAACCAGACCUGGUUGAAAAUUUCAAAAGAGAAACGCACAACUUGUUGCAGCGCGAUGUCGGGUGCAUCAUGGACGUUUUGAACUCCGUCGAGAAAUUUCCGCUGGAACCAAACACUUACGAAACGUUAAUCAACAGGGGUAGUAAAAUUGGUCUUUUCCUGAGAAGAGUGAAAUUAUUUUUUGAAAAGCUUUCUUUUUCUCAGACUGUUGGCAUGUACAAAGCUUAUCAAAGUUACGUUCUUAAUUCGAGAAGUGUAAACUUGGAUCACAAUAUGAAGGCUGAAGAUGUAACAGAAUUAGAUGAGUCUGAAUGUAAACACUUCGGAGAUAGAAUUAGUAUGGAAAUGGAUUUGAGCUCAAUUUGUGAAGAGCUUGUUCAGCCCAUUUCACCAAGAGCAUCGUCUGAGCAAAGUUGUUGUUCUUUUGAUGAAGUUGAGAAAAAUGACCCUCCAAUCGGCCUUUGGUCAAGAAGACAGGCUGAAUUAUUUAUAGCUCAGCAAGCGAAAUUGUUAGUGAACAAUCCUGAGCAAGCAAUGCCACCUCCUCAGCUUCAAGCAAAAUUACGAGAUGUCAUUGCAACUAAUCCAGAACAUGCAGAAGCUCAUUUUCUUAGUUAUAUGAAUUGCACUAGAGUUAAAGAGUAUUGCGGAGCUGUUGACAGCUUAUAUCAUUAUUUUGAUAGAAAAGCCCCAAGUUCAUACGAAGAUGAGGCAGUUCGUUGCAAGGGCUUAAGAUUUGCUGCUCUCAACCUUGCUAUUCUUCAAGCUAAAUUUAACCACAGAGAUGAAGCAUUGUUUGCUUUAAAAGAGGCAAUUACACUAGCACAUGAAGCAAAUGACAACGUUUGUUUACAACAUGCACAAGCCUGGAUGUAUAAGCUUCAAAAUGAUGAGAAAGAUGUUUUAAUGGAACGAUCGAUCUCAAAUUGUGACGAUUUGAACUUGAACUAUUUAUCUUCAUUUGGCCUCCAGUCAUACGCUGAGCAUUUAGCAAAGCAAGGUACACAGCCUUCAAAAGUAUUUGAGCUUCUGUCGAAAAGUGACAUUCGCAAUUAUCAAUAUUCCAUGAUGGACCUUCUGUCGUCUGGUUUUGCGAUUAGAAGCGCCUUGUGGAAUAUGUACGGAAAAUGUGAGCUUGCCGUUCUCUCCGUACAACAGUUACUCCAUCUCGACACAUCAACCCAAGGGAUCUCAGAAUAUACAGCAGGAGAUGCUUUGAUAUUGGCAAUUUCAAAUUUAGUAAACUACUUUGCUCUUCAGGGUGAAUACCAGAUCGCAUGGUCACUUGUAAAUCAUGGCAAAGAUAGAGUACCAGGAUCCAAAUGGUGGUUGUGGAGUGAAAACGUUCUCUACUUCAUAGAAUCAUUGCACAAAGGUCAGUGGCAGCAUGCACACCUGGCAAUAACUCAGUUGGCUACAGUUGAUGAGCUUGAAAGUUUGCUCAGACUCUGUGAACUAUUACUUGUGAAAGGAAACCGUCAGGAAGCAUUAGAGUGUGCGAAUAAAGUUCAUAGUAUGACAAAAAACCCAGUGAUGAGAAUUAGAGCCUUACUUUUUGCAGCAAAAGCAAACCCAAAGGGUUCAAUUAUGAAACUCUGUGAUGCUUUGAGCAUUGCUUCCCACCAUUCGAUAGAUUAUUGGACAGGUUUAAUUGCUUUAGAGAUAUCUAACAUUCAGCAUGAUAUGGGAAUGAGUUGUCAAGCUUUGAAAUUAGUUGAAAGAACAUUGCUCGUAGUCCUUUCAAAUGGUUGCUACAGUGAUAUGUCAGACUGCCUUGUAAUUUUUGCCAAAUGCAAAGUCUCCUCUGUGGCCAAUUCGCCAUUUCCAGUACGACUUGAUGUUAUCCAAGAAUCUAUAAGGAUUUUGAGCAAGGCUGCUGAGCUAGCUAAGCAGAUAGAAAAUUAUUCUAAAGUAAAAAGGAUUGUCUAUUUACAGGCUUUAUUAAGUCACAAUAUUGGAAUGUUUACAGAAAGGAACAAAUACGCUUUUGAAUUUAGAAUAUUAGAUGAACAAUUUCCAACAAAUGACUCUCCUUCCUCAUGAUGCUAGAUCUCUAUUGAUUUUUAUACUGUGAUCAAUUGUAUAUUUUACUUUGCAAUUAUAACUUCUUUUAUGGGUUGAUGAUCCCUCUUCUAUCAGUCAGAUCCUCUGAGGGCAAGUAUCGACAGAGGAUCUCAGCCGAUUAACAAGAGGCCAUGAGAGAUUGACAUACACACUUAGUUUUGGACCAAAGCUACGUGUAGACAUGUAGAUAAAAACUAUGUCCUAUUUAAUUAAAAAGUUCCAUUCCUUGGCUCUGUAUAAAGAGCAUGUCUGAUAUGAGAAUGUUGUGCUUCAGCACAGCAGCAAGUAUCUGGGUCC